AACGAACGCUGGCGGCAUGCCUAACACAUGCAAGUCGAACGAGACCUUCGGGUCUAGUGGCGCACGGGUGCGUAACGCGUGGGAACCUGCCCUUAGGUUCGGAAUAACUCCCCGAAAGGGGUGCUAAUACCGGAUAAUGUCUUCGGACCAAAGAUUUACCGCCUUUGGAUGGGCCCGCGUUGGAUUAGCUAGUUGGUAGGGUAAAAGCCUACCAAGGCGACGAUCCAUAGCUGGUCUGAGAGGAUGAUCAGCCACACUGGGACUGAGACACGGCCCAGACUCCUACGGGAGGCAGCAGUGGGGAAUAUUGGACAAUGGGCGAAAGCCUGAUCCAGCAAUGCCGCGUGAGUGAUGAAGGCCUUAGGGUUGUAAAGCUCUUUUACCCGGGAUGAUAAUGACAGUACCGGGAGAAUAAGCGCCGGCUAACUCCGUG
rnacentral:rRNA from 1 species